ACAGUGAACAGACUGACUGCUGCUGAAGUAGUAAUUAUUUUAACACCUGUCCCCCGACAUCUGUCGUCUUUAGAAGCCACAGUAAACACAGAGGCUCAAGAAGAAGGAGGAGAGUGGCUGCCUCUCCAAGAUUUUCUCUCUGUCACUCGCUUCAGUCUCUCAUUAUUAUUGUUUGAGUGGAGGGAGACGAACAAGAUGGUGUUGUGAUUACGCGAAGGAGAGAAGAAUUAUCUGGAUUGCUCGCUCCGAUUGGGAAUAUAGGUCAAUUGGAGAUAGUCCCUGGGGAGGCCCUUCCAUCCGUCUUCAAAGAUACAUAAGAGAUAGGAAGACACCAGCAAGACAUGAAGUUCAAAAUAUUUAUUCUGGCCCUGUUAGCAGGAACAGUAUCUGCCGCUACUUUGGCUGAACAAUAUGCCGUGAAUAUGCGGGCAGCUGCUCGGGCAGGGAACGCUACUUACGUGAAGCUUGUGUUGGACA